AAAAAAAUAAACCCUAGAUUUCCGUGUCCAAUGUUUAACUAUCCGUGUUAUAUGAAAAUUUUUUAUAAUUAGUAUUUUCAUUAUUGUUAGAUGAUAAACCAUGAUUAAUACUUUAUGCGUGACUUAUCUUUUUAUUUUUUUCAUAAUUUUUCAAAUAAUACGGACGGUCAAACGUUAGAUAUGAAAACUCAGCGUUUAUU
rfam:Oryza nivara chromosome 9, whole genome shotgun sequence.